rnacentral:lncRNA from 1 species
UCUUGAUGUUGUCCAGGUUCUUCACGGCUUCCCCAAAGGAGCUCAGCACUUUUUUGCCGUGAGCACGGACCUUGGGGUUACCAAUGAUGGCGGUGGGGCUGGAGAGGUUCCCGAAGUUAUCAAAGAACCUCUGGGUCCAGGGGUAGACGAUCAGCAGCCUGGCCAGGGCUUCGGCACCGCAUUCCUCCACGUUGACUUUGCUCCAGACGCUGGUGAUGAGCUGCUUCUCCUCGGCGGACCAGUGCACCAUGGUGGCAGCGGGGUUGGCGUGCGGCUGUGGGAGCACUCAGAGCUUGGAGCUGAGCUGCGGACCCCCGGGGCUUUUAUCCACCGCUGACAGCUCCUCCCCAC